UACAGAGGGUGCAAGCGUUAAUCGGAAUUACUGGGCGUAAAGCGUGCGUAGACGGUUAUGUAAGUCAGAUGUGAAAGCCCCGGGCUCAACCUGGGAAUUGCAUUUGAGACUGCAUAGCUAGGGUGCGGAAGAGGGAAGCGGAAUUUCCGGUGUAGCGGUGAAAUGCGUAGAUAUCGGAAGGAACACCAGUGGCGAAAGCGGCUUCCUGGUCCAGCAUCGACGUUCAGGCACGAAAGCGUGGGGAGCAAACAGG
rnacentral:rRNA from 1 species